AUGUGUUGGGUUUUUUGUUUUGUUUUGGAGGGGAAGAGAGAGGGUUAUGAAGACGACUUAUGUCUGUCUUUGCUUUUUUUUGAGGUGGGGGUUCGCACUUACAGCUCUGCGCUCCCAGUGCAGGCAGCGCGGUCGGCCUCCGGGGGAGACCGGGGAGCAUUCGCCCGAGCAGCGGGACUUGGUCAGGAGGACCAAGGGCGAGGAGGCCCCGGACAGUCACCGCUCAGGCCUCGCCACCGCCUCCGCCUUCGAGGGACGCGCGUCCCCUCGCGCGGCGCCUCCUCCAACGCUCUCGCCAACCGCCCGCCGCGCAGCCAGCCCCGCCGGCAGGUUCGCCGCCGUCGCCUCCGCCUCCGCCUCGCGCACACGCCGCAAAGACGCGGCCCGGCCCGCUACCCGGCGGGCAGGAGGACCCAGAGAGUGCCGCCGCGGCUCCCUCCCCGCGCAUGCGCCCACGCCCCCAGCCCCGCGCGUGUCCCACGCCGACGCCGAAGCCCGAGCGCGCCCUCCUGCUCCGCCCCCCUUCCCGGCACACGCCCCUCCCGCCCCACCCCCAGCGGGCCGGCCCCGCCGCCCGCGUCCCUUCAGGGCCUGGGGACCGCGCACCUCAUCCCCCGCACCCUGCCCGAGGGCCCCAGACCCGGGAGGCCCGACCUAGGUGCCCUCUCGCUGGCUCCUCAGUCUUCGCCUCUGGACCCUACUGGACGACCCCCCAGUCCUCCACCUGUCGCGGGCUCCCUUCUCCCCCAUGUGUCAUGGUCACCCUCAGCGGCCGCAGGCGCUGGUGGCAGGAAGUCUAAGGAGAUUCAGUGGCCGCCGCCCUCUAGGGUCUCCAGAGGGUUAGUAAGGAACUUCAGAGGCGCAGGCACGGGGUCCGGCCAACCCCUGCCGGGGGCCACCCGAAAGCCCCCAUCCUGGGCCGCACCCCGCGGAGCGCGCGCCGUCGGCGUCCCUUUCCCCAGCGGGCGCCGCCCGCCCUCCCGGACCCUCCGCCCUCCGCGCGCGCCGCCUCUGCCCGCGACCGCUCAGCGCGUGGAUCCCACCUGCUUCGUCUGUGCGCUCUGCCCUGACCCGCCGGCCCCUCGGUGGACCCACCUGCAAACCUUUCUCAUGCUCCUCCGAUUCCUUGAUACUUGCUCCUCCAGGCCGAGCCCACCCCGAUACCCACCUCCGCUGCAGCUUAAUGGUUAG
rnacentral:lncRNA from 1 species